AGAGUUUGAUCCUGGCUCAGGAUGAACGCUGGCGGCGUGCCUAAUACAUGCAAGUCGAGCGAACGGACGAGAAGCUUGCUUCUCUGAUGUUAGCGGCGGACGGGUGAGUAACACGUGGAUAACCUACCUAUAAGACUGGGAUAACUUCGGGAAACCGGAGCUAACACCGGAUAAUAUUUUGAACCGCAUGGUUCAAAAGUGAAAGACGGUCUUGCUGUCACUUAUAGAUGGAUCCGCGCUGCAUUAGCUAGUUGGUAAGGUAACGGCUUACCAAGGCAACGAUGCAUAGCCGACCUGAGAGGGUGAUCGGCCACACUGGAACUGAGACACGGUCCAGACUCCUACGGGAGGCAGCAGUAGGGAAUCUUCCGCAAUGGGCGAAAGCCUGACGGAGCAACGCCGCGUGAGUGAUGAAGGUCUUCGGAUCGUAAAACUCUGUUAUUAGGGAAGAACAUAUGUGUAAGUAACUGUGCACAUCUUGACGGUACCUAAUCAGAAAGCCACGGCUAACUACGUGCCAGCAGCCGCGGUAAUACGUAGGUGGCAAGCGUUAUCCGGAAUUAUUGGGCGUAAAGCGCGCGUAGGCGGUUUUUUAAGUCUGAUGUGAAAGCCCACGGCUCAACCGUGGAGGGUCAUUGGAAACUGGAAAACUUGAGUGCAGAAGAGGAAAGUGGAAUUCCAUGUGUAGCGGUGAAAUGCGCAGAGAUAUGGAGGAACACCAGUGGCGAAGGCGACUUUCUGGUCUGUAACUGACGCUGAUGUGCGAAAGCGUGGGGAUCAAACAGGAUUAGAUACCCUGGUAGUCCACGCCGUAAACGAUGAGUGCUAAGUGUUAGGGGGUUUCCGCCCCUUAGUGCUGCAGCUAACGCAUUAAGCACUCCGCCUGGGGAGUACGACCGCAAGGUUGAAACUCAAAGGAAUUGACGGGGACCCGCACAAGCGGUGGAGCAUGUGGUUUAAUUCGAAGCAACGCGAAGAACCUUACCAAAUCUUGACAUCCUUUGACAACUCUAGAGAUAGAGCCUUCCUCUUCGGGGGACAAAGUGACAGGUGGUGCAUGGUUGUCGUCAGCUCGUGUCGUGAGAUGUUGGGUUAAGUCCCGCAACGAGCGCAACCCUUAAGCU
rnacentral:rRNA from 1 species